UACGGAGGAUGCAAGCGUUAUCCGGAAUUAUUGGGCGUAAAGCGUCCGUAGGUGGCUAAUCAAGUCUGCUGUCAAAGCGUGGAGCUUAACUCCAUACCGGCGGUGGAAACUGAUGAGCUAGAGUGCGAUAGGGGUAGCAGGAAUUCCCAGUGUAGCGGUGAAAUGCGUAGAGAUUGGGAAGAACACCAGCGGCGAAAAGCGUGCUACUGGGUCUGCACUGACACUGAGGGACGAAAGCUAGGGGGAGCGAAAAGGG
rnacentral:rRNA from 1 species